rfam:TPA: Bos taurus chromosome 20, whole genome shotgun sequence.
UCCCUGUUGGCUAAGAUGGUAAAGAAUCUGCCUGCAAUGCAGGAGACCUGGGUUCCAUCCCUAGGUUGGAAA